rnacentral:lncRNA from 1 species
UUUGGUUCGCCGGGAUGCCCAUUUUUGCCUGGACUAUUUUAUUCUUUUCGUCCAGCGGGUCUCUUUAUAUGAAGUAUUUUUUAACUGCGUCCGCAUUCACGGGGGAUGGAAAAUCCUCGCCAUCCAUGGUCGUUAGCAACAAGGCUCCGCCAGAGAAAACCUUCUUGACCACGAAUGGACCUUCAUAAUUGGGUGUCCAUUUGCCCCUACGAUCAUUUUGAGGAGGAAAGAUC